GCGUGGGUAGUAUAGUGGUUAGUAUUACUGGCUUCCAACCAGUCGACCCGGGUUCAACUCCCGGCCCGCGCA
rnacentral:tRNA from 1 species